CUGAAGUGUUCUACAAAAUGCUUUAGUCUUAUCUUCCCAUCUGAAACAAAGUGUUUGCCCCACUGCACCCGAACGUCUCCCUUUUAUUUUUUUCUGUCUCUCUCUGUCGGCAUCAUGAGACCAGAAAAUAACCCUUUGGAUCUCAACAACUUUCCCGAUGAGUACUCCAGAGAUGGCAAACAACUCUUCCAAGACACUUUCUCAUCCGAAGGAUACCAGAGAAACAAAGACGUGUUGAAGGAUGAUGAGAGUGAGAAGGUCUACGAGUGUAGAUUUUGUUCACUCAAGUUCUGCAAAUCACAGGCUCUUGGGGGACACAUGAACCGCCACCGCCAAGGCUAGAUAUAGCUGCUAUCUUCAUAACUUUUGUUGUUUUAUAUCUUUUUACCGUUUCCCCA